AAGAUGCAGAAUUAUAGCGGCACAUUUCGCAUGCGCGUUAUCCGGUUGGUUAUCGGUGUCACAUCCCAUUAGAAAAGUGCUUUCUUUUAUUUUUUCCCCCAUGAAAUCAGUGCGGGAAAAUCACGUUGUUGUCUUCGGGAUUAGACGCGUCAGGAGUCACGUGUGUUUCUGCUGAAGAUGGCGGAAGAGAGCAUAACAUCAGCAGGACGGGACCGGGAUCUGCAUCUUCCAGGGGUUUCCGAUGGCCCCGCGGCCGGAGGGACCGAUAGAAGGUCCGCCAACAGCCCAGAGGAGCCGCUUUCUCCUACUUCCGUCAUCUUCUUUAAAGAGGCGCUGGGGUCGAGCUCCGUACAGUUACCCAAGAGUACGGCGCUCCACCCUGGGCUGCCGCAAUGCGAGCCAAACACACAGAAACCUGCCCGAAAAAAACCGAAGGACCCCUUUGCAAUUGAGAGGCUGAACCUGAUGAACAUGGCCAAGCUGAGCAUCAAGGGUCUGAUUGAGUCGGCGCUGAACUUCGGUCGGACGCUGGACUCCGACUACGCCCCUCUGCAGCAGUUCUUUGUCGUCAUGGAGCACUGCCUGAAGCACGGCCUGAAAGCUAAGAAGACCUUCCUUGGACAGAACAAGUCUUUGUGGGGCCCUUUGGAGCUGGUGGAGAAGUUAAAUCCAGAAGCCGCGGAAAUUACAGCCAGUGUGAAGGAACUGCCAGGACUCAAAACACCUCUGGGUCGGGGCAGAGCCUGGUUACGGCUCGCCUUAAUGCAGAAGAAGCUGUCGGAUUACAUGAAAACCAUUAUUAACCGAAAGGAUCUGUUGAGUGAAUUCUAUGAAGCGAACGCACUGAUGAUGGAGGAGGAGGGAGCCGUCAUCGCAGGGCUAUUAGUGGGUCUGAAUGUCAUCGACGCAAACCUCUGCAUGAAAGGGGAGGACCUGGACUCACAGGUCGGGGUUAUCGAUUUCUCCAUGUAUCUGAAAGAUGACGGGCAGAGCAGCAGGAGCCCGGACGGCGAUGAACAGAUUACAGCUAUACUCGAUCAGAAGAAUUAUGUUGAGGAGCUCAAUCGGCAUUUGAGCGCAUCGGUGAAUAAUCUGCAAAUAAAAGUCGAUGCCCUUGAGAAAUCAAAUACAAAGCUGACAGAAGAGCUUGCUAUUGCCAACAACAGAGUGCUGACUCUGCAAGAGGAGGUCUCUCACAUGCAGGGGGGGAGCGCCCUCCUUUCAGAGUGCAGCCACAAGGGGCCUGGAGCAGAGGUGACUGCUGACGACCGGGUUUCAGGAGAGGUGUGGAAAAAGCUGAAGGAGGAAACGCAGCUUCGUCUGGAUGUGGAGAGCGAGCUGGAGGUGCAGAUUGGGAUGAAGCAGGAGAUGGAGCUGGCCAUGAAGAUGCUGGAGAAGGACAUCUGCGAGAAGCAGGACGCUCUGGCAGCUCUGCGCAAGCAGCUGGACGACAUGAGGAUGCUGAACCAGCAGCUCUCCCUGAAGACUCAGAGCUCUGAUACGGCCUUGAAACAGAAGAGUGACAUCAUUAGCCAUCUGGAGGAGAAGACAACACAGAUGGCCUCAAUGAUCAAGCAGCUGGAGCUCAGUGAAAAAGAUGUGGUGAAACAGGCCAGAAGUCUUAGUUCUGCAGCCCAGAAGCUGCUCCAGCAGGAGCAAUAGGGCCCAGAGGAACUUUUGUCAUUUACAGAGCCUCAUAGGACUAACAGUGGUUAAUUUUGUACUCUUAUGCAUUAUAGAGGUACCUAGGUAGGGUUAGGGUCCAGUUCCCGAACUCAUCUAAGUCUUGUUUUCACUUUUAUUUAAUAGACUGGGAAACCACAAGCCCCUGGAAAAUGAAUCAUUUUUUCCCUCAGUUGUGCCAACAGUUAAGAGCAGAAUAUUUAAUCUGUGAAGAAUUUGUACCACCGUCGUGCCAUUUGCAAAACACAGCCGAGACUUUUUCCAUUGUGCUUAUAAAUGCAAGUGGAAGCACCAUAAAUAUAAAUUAAUAAAGUUUUAAUUUAACAAAUGUCAGACAUGUGAGAAGUUAAGAAUGGACGGGCCGUCUUCUAGAAACCGAUGGUCCUGAAGUCCAUCUGAAUUGAAUUGCUGUGCCGCGCUGGGUAACGCUCGUGCUGGGGUAACGUUACGCUCGCGCUGGGGUAACGUUACGCUCGCGCUGGGGUAACGUUACGCUCGCGCUGGGGUAACGUUACGCUCGCGCUGGGGUAACGUUACGCUCGCGCUGGGGUAACGUUACGCUCGCGCUGGGGUAACGUUGCGCUCGCGCUGGGGUAACGCACUCACUGAGGUAACGCACUCACUGAGGUAACGCACUCACUGAGGUAACGCUCGCGCUGGGGUAACGUUGCGCUCGCGCUGGGGUAACGUUGCGCUCGCGCUGAGGAUGUUCUGUCAUGAAAAUGUAGCUCCGUGACUCAAGCAUGGCCUCCAGUGCCUUAAUUCUUAAUGAAUCCUUCCUUUGGUCCAGGGGAACAUUUUGUAAUGGAGAAGCGGGGGUUGUCCCCUCCCGCUAUGCAUUCCAUUAGCAUGCUUUCUUUCCCGCAUGAUCUUUCUUUUUCGGCGCUCAGUAGGAUGUUGCCUGGCUCUUUAAUUGUCUGGUGCUCGUCGUUAUAAAGCAUGCUGGAUUAUUUGUGCUCCUGACACAAUAAGGGCAGCAAUGUAGAAUAAUACACCUCCUGUCUGUUACCCUGCCAGAGUACUUAAGACUUGCGUGUCAGUAGAACAGUUGUGUUUUCAAAGCUUGUUAUGAUUCACUGUCUUAUUCUAGGUCAGGAUAGGCAUCAGUAACCAUGACCGAUACUGUUACUCAUCUCCUGCUACAGUGUUCUUGUUCCGGUAUAGAAAUGUAAUGUCAAGUAAGCCAUAGCUAUCCACACUAAUAUUUAGAAAAUAGCAAUCCAUUUGAGAAGUCACUUCCACUUUGUUCAAGAUCUGUCACAGAUAACAGUUUAGAUGCCAGCAAAGAUUGCUUGAAAUAGUUUUGAUAAUGUUAACUUUCAGUAGUUUUUGUCAUUAUGUCGGGGUACUUGAUGUAAGUUCUGGCAGUUUGAUUGCAUGCUACCAUAGCGACAAACUCAUAUUCGCAGUGACCUUUUGAUUUCCAGUUUGAUCUGGCCACCUUGGCCUACACACACUGACAUAUCACCCCAACAGCCUGUCAGCAUCACUGCUUAUGAUAUGGCUGAUUCAGUAAUACUUUAUGGUGCUGAUCCACAGUACUGUGCCAAAAGGCAGUCAAAGAAAACGUUUGAGGCUAUCAAUUUCGGUAGUAAGUGUAUAUUGGCUCAGAAUUAACAGCAAAAAAAAAAACUAACAAAAAUUUCUUCAGUUUUCCAGAAAGGUACUGAUAUCUUAUUGGAUGGCUAGAUGAACACCGCUUCAGUUCCCAAACCUCUCCUCAGGGGCAGCCCAGCCAUUCCAUGUAUUUGAGCUGGUGGUGAAAUGUAACAAUCAGUUAAUGAACCUAAUUGGUUAAAUAACUCAGUGAGGAUUUGAACAGCCAAACUACGUGUGCCAUUGGGUGAUUUAAGAAGUACGUGGCCAUAUUAGAUGGUCACUGAAAAUACUCGGCUGACUGUAGGUUAGGUUUUGAAAUGGCUCAGUUGACGCACUUUGACAGACAAUAUCAUAAAGAUCAUUUAAACAUUUAAGUGUUUCGCAUGGCACUGUAUAUCCAACAUGGAGACAUUGAAAUGUGCUGAGGGCAGGAGGCAUGUGGACAGGAAGUCAGAAGGAACAUGCCACUGCCACAGAGAAGGGGAUGGCCGUCUCUGAGUAUUAUUGGCUGUUACUGAGGUUAUCAAGAGUCCCCCCAACAAUGUUUACGGUAUGUGCUCUGCUCAAUGCUUAAGAACAGUCAUACAUUGUGAGUGGUGAUUUUUUAAUGGUUAUAAAUACAAGCAAAAAUGUCUAGGUUGUCUGCAGUGUUAGUGUGGGAAAAGAUCCAUCUUCACACUAUGUAGCAAGCUGUUCCACCUUCUCUGCUUGUGUCCCACCUCAAGCAGCCUGCUGACCUUUGCUCCCCCCUCAAUAAUGUGUAGUGAACUUUUCCCUUUGCAUCUACUACCAAAAUUAGUCAAAAUCCAGAACUGGAUAUUAACAUCAUUGUAAGAGGUGCUUCAUCCCACAGGACCUGAGCACACAGCAAGUGUUCCCUGUAUACACAGAGCUUUCCCUCAUUCCACAGGACCUGAACACAUAGCAAGCAUUCCCUGUGUACACACAGCUCUCCCUCAUCCCACAGGACCUGAACAC